CAUGCAGUCGAACGCGUGUAGCAAUACACGAGUGGCGCACGGGUGAGUAACGCGUGGAUAUCUGCCUUUUGGUUCGGAAUAACCCCGGGAAACUGUGGGCUAAUACCGGAUGGUUCCUUCGGGAUAAAGAUUUAUCGCCAAAAGAUG
rnacentral:rRNA from 1 species